rnacentral:rRNA from 1 species
UACGUAGGGUGCAAGCGUUAAUCGGAAUUACUGGGCGUAAAGGGUGCGUAGGCUGCGCGGUAAGUCAGAGGUGAAAUCCCGGAGCUCAACUUCGGAAUUGCCUCCGAUACUGCCGUGCUUGAGGACUGGAGAGGAGACUGGAAUUUACGGUGUAGCGGUGAAAUGCGUAGAUAUCGUAAGGAAGACCAGUGGCGAAGGCGGGUCUCUGGACAGUUCCUGACGCUGAGGCACGAAGGUCAGGGGAGCAAACGGG